GACUGUCAACAACCUGAAGGGGCCUGGAAGCAGACUUUCUUCUAGAACCUCCAGAUCAGAGUCCAGGCCACAGACACCGUGAUUUUAGCUUGGUGAGACUGUAAGCCCAGAACCCAGCUGAACUUGCCAGGACUUCUGAGCUAAGAAACUAUAAGAUUAUGAAUGGGAGUUUUUUAAGGAGAGGAAACAUUGUUUUAAGCUGCUAAGUUUGUGGCAGUUUGUUGAAAGGACUUUGGGGAUCAUUUGACCCUGAGGAAAGAGGUUGCAUCUCAAGCCAAGUCCAAUCUCAAUUCGCACGGCUACCAGGAGUGCCCUGCGGAGAAGAAUUGUGAGGCCAAGCCUGGAUUCGAGGAAGGCGGAAACAAACUACAACCCUGGCAUGAAAUGAGAAGGCUUCAGUCCAUGGAGAACACCAAAAGGAACUCAGAGACACAUGGUGAAAGUCAGUGGACACAGCAGAGAAGAAGCAAGCAACUCACAGACCCUGGGGAACUCCCCACGCCACCAUGUUUAUUGUUACACACGGGGUGGCAGGCCUCACCAGGCAAUACAGAGGCUCCUCUUGGAAUCUUACAAGGGCCCUGGCAAUGGCCAUUUCUUACUCAGGGAGUUGUCUGAUAUUUGGUUUCUUCUGGAAAGCCUGUGAUUAUGACUGAACAAACUCAAAAGCAGCCUCUGGAAAAAGCUGUCUGAAUUCUCUCUCCAAAUAGUUGUUUCUGUAACGAGAUAGAUCCCAGACCCAUCUGUGUGCUCCGGAAGGCUCCUUCCUCUUGCUGGCUUCUUCGGGUUCUGCUUAAUGGACUUCUGAUUAUAGCAGUCCCAGAGUGAGCCCGGCUUAUAUAUGAGGAAAGGAAAUCAGCAGGGAACACUCACCUUAUGAUGCAUAGAGAAUGAGCUUCUCGCUGGAAAUGCAAAUUUUGAAGGAUGCAAAUCUCACUUCUGAAUACAUAAUGGUCCCUAAUUAGCUCACAGGUAAUUAGUGCAAUUACCAAGGGCCAGCACACUCUUAAAGCUGUGUGCCUAGGGUAUUUUUCCCUAGGGAAAAUAAACUCAAAUGGUUAAAAUUCCCUUUCAGCAAAGAUUAUGUUUUUCCACACAUUAACACUGAACCAGUCUUGGUUGUAUGUGGUCAUAAACGUUCCUGUUUACAGCCUUCUUUGUAAGUCAUUGCCAGCAGGAUCUUAGCUCCACCCUUAGUUCAAUAAUGAAUGAAGCCAGUCUGACAAAGACAUAGAGAUGUAGGGGAGCAAAAUUUGCCACACCAAAAUGCCUCUUUGGCAUGGGAUGAUUUGGAGCUGAAAACAAUCAAGGCCAAAAAGACUCAGGAAGAAAAUUUGACCUUCUCCCUCACUGCCUAAAAGAGGACCUGUUCCAGAAGGGAGCUGUCACCACAGGUAACCGUAGUGUGAACAAGGUGUGGUAGACAGGGAGGGACCUAGCAAAGUCUGUUUCUUAAAAUCCCUCUCUGUGUCCCACUGUCUCUGCUGGUGCAGCAAACAUUUGUUUACCAAACACUUGCUUUUCAAUCUCCUGGUCAAUUGCUUUCCUCCCCUUUGAAGUCACAAACCACUACCCCCAACAUCCUCUUUUGUCUUUUGCUGAAGAUGGUAUUUAAAAUGGGGACUUGGCCAUUUUAGCGAGCUGCUCAGCUUUCCUGGAUCUUUCCCAUGUAUACAUGUUAUUAAACUUUCAUUUGAUUUUUUCUUGUUAA